UACGAAGGGGGCUAGCGUUGCUCGGAAUUACUGGGCGUAAAGGGCGCGUAGGCGGACAUUUAAGUUAGAGGUGAAAGCCCUGGGCUCAACCCUGGAAUAGCCUUUAAUACUGGAUGUCUUGAGUUCGGGAGAGGUGAGUGGAAUGCCGAGUGUAGAGGUGAAAUUCGUAGAUAUUCGGCGGAACACCAGUGGCGAAGGCGACUCACUGGCCCGAUACUGACGCUGAGGCGCGAAAGCGUGGGGAGCAAACAGG
rnacentral:rRNA from 1 species